rnacentral:tRNA from 1 species
GGUUCCAUAGUGUAGUGGUUAGUACGUCUGCUUUACACGCAGAAGGUCCUGGGUUUGAGUCCCAGCGGAGCCA